rnacentral:miRNA from 1 species
ACGCGCGUGCUGCGGACCUGGGUUGGCGGAGUGGGGCCCAGUGGUCACCGCCACUCCACAGGUCCGGGUUGCCGCGCGCAUGCGCC